CUCUCUUGACAAACACCCAAAUUGAUCCGAUGGCUCAGUGCUGGUUAAAUUGUAUUGGGUCUUCCACUUGACUUUUUUGUUUCAUAACCCUCGACUGAAAAUGGAUUGAUGGAUGGAUGGAACCCUCAAGAUCACUUAGUAAUUUCCAAAUGACUGUCUUACUGUGGCCCACCUCAGCAGUGAUGGUGCUCUGAGAGAGAACCAUAUGCUGUUCAAUGACUAACAAAUCAAGAUGGUGUUAUUUACUUUGUUGUUUGAAGUGUUUUAUUCAAUAGAGAGUCUCACAGUCUUAUAAAUUAGUAUAUAUUAGGUUAUUUUGUUGCAGUUGCUGCUUGGGUUAGGGUCGGAGUCCUGGUUUUUGACAUCACAAUAAAUCACUGAUAAAUAAUUUGUUCUCACCACCAUUAAAUAAAGUGUUUUAAUUCAUGCAUUAAAACAUAAUCACAUAUUAGUUUAGACAUUUUAUAUGUCAGACUUUGAUUCUCAUAGCAUUACCACGUAACCACAAUUUUGCAUAAAGGUAAAUAAUUUGGUUAUUCUUUAAUAAUUUGGAAAAAUAUAACUUUAUAUAUAAUUGUUGUGUGGUGGGGUGAGUACGCUUCAUCUCUAUAACAUCUUUGAGCUCUUCAUUUCAGGAGAGGGAGCUCACCAGCUGCAGGGUAUUAGCAAUCAGCGGCAGCUGCAGCUUCUCAGGUCAUCUGCAGCAGAGCUCUAUUUAAGAGGAGAGGGAACCACUACACAGCGCUGGAUGAUUAACUACUCAUUGAUCACUGGACAAUCUUCCCUGACGCUCUGGGUUUGUUGGAUAUUAUCCUCCAUCCAAGAAGCAGAACCUUACUGGAUUACUCACCUGGAAAGAACCAUACCUUCCUGGACUUCACGGUUCGCCUCUCCUCUUAUUCCUCUGCCACCCUGCCUGGCUCCCUCUCCUGGACUCACCCCGUCACUCCACCUGCCCUCCUCGACCUCCUCCACCUGCAGAACUUGGACUCUCUCAGGCUCCAACUACUCUGGGUUUAUUCCAGGGACACCUUUUGUUAGAUUCCUUAAAUAAAUCAUUGUUUUGAACUUU